rnacentral:rRNA from 1 species
AUUGAACGCUGGCGGCAGGCCUAACACAUGCAAGUCGAACGAGCGGCGGACGGGUGAGUAAUGUAUGGGGACUGCCCGAUAGAGGGGGAUAACUACUGGAAACGGUGGCUAAUACCGCAUACUAUCGGAUAACCCAUAUGGGAUUAGCUAGUAGGUAAGGUAAUGGCUUACCUAGGCGACGAUCCCUAGCUGGUCUGAGAGGAUGAUCAGCCACACUGGAACUGAGACACGGGCCAGACUCCUACGGAGGCAGCAGUGGGGAAUAUUGCACAAUGGGCGCAAGCCUGAUGCAGCCAUGCCGCGUGUAUGAAGAAGGCCUUAGGGUUGUAAAGUACUUUCAGUGGGGAGGCGUUACCGACAGAAGAAGCACCGGCUAACUCCGUGCCAGCAGCCGCGGUAAUUC